rnacentral:rRNA from 1 species
CCUACGGGAGGCAGCAGUGAGGAAUAUUGGACAAUGGAGGAGACUCUGAUCCAGCCAUGCCGCGUGUAGGAAGAAUGCCCUAUGGGUUGUAAACUACUUUUAUACAGGAAGAAACACUGGUAUGUAUACCAGCUUGACGGUACUGUAAGAAUAAGGACCGGCUAACUCCGUGCCAGCAGCCGCGGUAAUACGGAGGGUCCGAGCGUUAUCCGGAAUCAUUGGGUUUAAAGGGUCCGCAGGCGGUCGAUUAAGUCAGAGGUGAAAUCCCAUAGCUCAACUAUGGAACUGCCUUUGAUACUGGUUGACUUGAGUCAUAUGGAAGUAGAUAGAAUGUGUAGUGUAGCGGUGAAAUGCAUAGAUAUUACACAGAAUACCGAUUGCGAAGGCAGUCUACUACGUAUGUACUGACGCUGAGGGACGAAAGCGUGGGGAGCGAACAGGAUUAGAUACCCCAGUAGUC